ensembl:lncRNA
CGCGGCGGCGGCGGCCGCCUGUGAAAGUGCCGAGCCGGUGCGCUAGGGGCAGGGGGAAGAUGAGAGAGCAGCAUAAAGAAGAAGUGUUGAGAGCUGCUCUCAGCCCUUUUGGAGUCCGAAGUCAAAAGGGAACUAGGGGGCUUGACACAUCCCUUGCAUCUUCCAUUUACUCUGACCACAGUCCCUCCCUGUUCUCUCAAGUGGAGCUAAGCCCUGCUUCCCUCCCUCUUGAUUCCCAGACAGCUACAUGGUAAGUUUUCAUUAUCUCUGUUCUUGUUGCCACAAGGUAAAAUUCUGGCAGACUCACUCUAAAAUCCAUUAGCACUGGGCAUUGAGGGCAGACUACUUCAUGCCCAUCAAUGAUCAUUCAGUCCUGUUCCAGGCUGACUGCAAGAGAAGGAAGAUAGUAUUGAAUUAGCAUUGCAGCUGAACUUCAGCAUAGAUUGUUAUAGGAAUAAAAUAUGAAGCAAAAUAUGUGACAGAAUUAAAUCCAUCAGUUCUAAUAAAGGAAACAGAAGAAAGCAAAGAAAUCUUGGACCCUUAAAUCCCAUUAACCAGGCCAGAGAGAGAAUGUGUUAAAAGAGAGCUACGCUGUAUCUUUUUUCAUUGUUUGAUGAAAUAAUCUUUUCUCACCCUUUAAGUGGUGUGUUUAAAAAUCCUGGUAUUUCUGAAACAAAGAGAAUACACAGCCACCGAGCUAGCUGGUUUUUAUACCUUCCUUUUCUGAGUAUUGUCCUUCAGUACAAUACAGAGCCAUUUCUUUGUUCUCACAAGCUAGCAGUUAAAUUGUAUGUAAAUGUAUGCAAAUUAGAUGCUGUCUAAUAAAGAGAGUCAUUAGAUGGAAGAAAUAUUUAGUUUAGGGGGGAAAAAAGAAAGAAAAGAAAGCAGGUGUAUUUUGCAAUAGAAAAUGUAAGAUUGCAAAACCCCCUCAAACUUUGGGUGAAGGCUUUUUGUAAAACCAUUAAAACAUUUUCUAAGACUUGCCCUAUUCUUGGUCCCUUCUUCUAUGCUUCUUUAUGUGUAUAUGUAUGUAUACUUCUGCAGUCUUUUCCACAGAACUCACAUGGCUGUGCUGUGUGUAUAUGUACGUAAUUGAAAUGAUGUGUAAAUACUGUAUUCAUAAAUAAUGUUUAUGAUUACUUUAAACCAUAUAGCUAUGAAUUUACAUGCAUGUACUUUGUGUUAGGGUGUGUUUUUGAUUUCUGAGUCUAUACAGGUGGAGUCCAUGUGGUAAAUUUUACUCUCAUGGAUUGAUUUAUUCAUUAUAUGCCUUGCCUGUGUACAUUAUGCUUCCUAAAUCAUCUACGUCAAUUUUAUAAACCCCUCUCCUCUCUUCAACAAUUCUAAAGCUCUCUCUUUUUUUGUUUUUUCUUCACUUUGCUCACUGAACCUCAGUGUUGGGUAUGUUUCCAGUCUUCUACUGGAAUUUUCUACCAAGUAAUUCCUUUUGAAGUAUGGACCUGAUUCAAGCCUGAAGUAGAGUGACUUUUCUGAAUGUGACAAAGCUGUAGCCUGGAGCACUAAAAUGCUAGGAAUGUGUCCUCAAAGGCUGGAGAUCCCACACCUAUGGGUGGAGCACUCAGCAUCCAUCUAUGCUCUGAAAGAUUUAAAAUUGAUGAAACUUGCAUUCUUGCCAGUUCUAAGAAGAAAAUAAUUAAGAUUUUAAUCUUUGUACCCUUGAAUCUGUAGUUCUGAUCUGUCAGUUCUUCUGCCUGGAGAGAGUAGCAUACAUAGAUGACAUGGCUCAAUUAUUAUGAAGUCGUUAUUGUUUUUUGUUUCUGAUGGUCAGUUGUCAUGAUUCAGGGUGGGGAGCCAGUAGCUGUACUUAAGGCAUAUUUUUUCAGUUGCAUUUUUGCAAGUCUGGAAGCCUAAAGACAUAUAUGUAUAUGUGUAUAAAAUGUAUGUAUAUAAAAAUAAUGUUGUUUAAAUAUUUACAUAUAAAGCCAAGAGAUUGGCUUCCUUCCCAGAAUUACUGGAACUACCUUCCCCAGGAACAUUUGGACUUGAAAAAUCUCUACAGCAACACUUUUCUUCAAAAACUAAACAACUUGUGAAGUGAGGGACUAGCUCUGCACCCUUUGCUGUUCAUAUUGGUUCUGUUGUUUGGGGUGAUGGAAUGAGAAAGGGGAGAGACUCCCAUGCAUGAGCAAUACAUUUCCAGUUAAUUAUGACAAGAUGCUCUUUUAUUGCUCUUUCCAUCCACAGUUUCUUAUUGAUUUAUUUUGAGAGAAUAUUUACGAAAAAAUAUGUAGCACAAUGGGGAUUUUUUUUUCAUUGUUCUAGAACAGGUCCAUGCAAUGGAGUGCAUCUGGGCCACAUUUAGUCCAGGGGCAGCAGUUCCUGUCCAAGCAGCUGCUGGGCAGAUGAACCAAUCGCUCAGAAAGAACUUGAAUCUCUGUUUAUCCCUUAUCCAAACUGUAUUUGAGCUACCAGCAGAGAAGCCACAGUGUGAGUCUUCUGCCCCAUGGGGAAAUAUAGACAACAUCAUUGUAAGGAUGCUGUGAAAGGUUGGCAAUGAAUAUUUCACAUAUAGAAGGAGGAUACCUUCAUUCUAUUCAAGUUAUUCUUGAACAUGCAUGGUAUUCUUGGAGGGGAAUACCUCAAUUAGGAGAUGUAAGGUGAGGAUGGGAAUGCAAGAAGAAUCUGAGCUUUAGUAUGAGGAUGCUAGAGAAAGAUAAAGUUAAUAAAGUAUGGCAGAACACAGGACAUUGUGAUGAGAGGGAGGUAUGAGGUAACAUUAGCAAAUAGAAAAUGUUAACAAUUUACUCACUCACUUGGGACGCUGCUCUUCUAGGUUGUCUGGAGGCAACCUAGAGCUGAGUCACCAGUAAUGCAGACAUUUAGCACAGAUGUUUUCACACAGUUUGCAGUUUAUACACGUAACUUCAGCUACCUCUCAGAAUCUGAAAGCCUGUGUUAAUCCUGAGACACUAACCAGGGAUGUUCCUUCUGAAGGCAGGACAGGCUAGCUGUCGAAGAUAGUACUUUGUCUCCCAGAAGUAGAUUCCUCGAGAAGAAUUCAAAACACAUAGGCAGGCAAGAACAUGUUCACACAAGGGAAGAACAGUGCAGGAUUAGGUGCAGCAGUAUGAUUAACUCCGUGUUCCUCUCCAGACUUCCUCUGUUCGAUGACUAUGUACUUCUGAGGAUACAUGUGUCUCUACCUUGCCCAUCUUGAUAAUAAGGGUAAUACAGGUUUCUACAUCAAAAUACAUUGUGGGGAUAUGUAGUAUCCUGAGGCAAGUUAAAAAAGGUGCAGCCAGCACUUUGAAGGAGGUGAUCUUCCCCCUCUACUCUGCUCUGGUGAGACCACAUCUGGAGUACUAUGUCCAGUUCUGGACUCUCCAGUUCAAAAAAGACAGGGAUUUCCUAGAAACAGUCCAGUGGAGAGUAACAAAGAUGAUUAAGAGCCUGGAGCAUCUCCCAUGUGAGGAAAGGGUGAGACACCUUGGACUCUUCAGACUGGAGAAGGGAAGACAAGAAGGGGAUCUCGUUAUCUAAAGGGAGGGAAUCAAGUCGAUAGGAGUGGAUUCUUCAGUGGCAAGCAACAGCAGAACAAGGGGCUGCAGGCACAAACUGGGACACAGGAAGUUCCGUGCAAGCACAAAGAAGAGCUUCUUUACUGUCAGAGUGGCGGAGCACUGGUGUAGGCUGCUCAGAGAGGUGGUGAAGUCUCCUGUGGAGAUAUUCAGGACCUGUCUGGAUGCCUUCCUGUGCAACCUGCAAUGGGGAACACUGCUUUAGCAGGGGGGCUGGACUCGAUGAUCUCUAGAGGCUGGACUCGAUGAUCUCCCUGCAGUUCCGUGAUCUUCCUAUUAUAUAUCUUUAGCAGUAGCACAGAGAGCUACGAGGAAUCUGAAGUUGUGAUGUGGAACAACCAGUGUUUUCACUGACAAUCUGAAAAUAAAUGAUAAUUUUUUAACUUGUAUUCCUCAAGAGCUUGUGCCUCUUAAAGAAAAAAAAAAAGUUGUAAGAAAUAAAAUAUGCCGCAGUAAACUAUUCCUAGAGCUAACGAACAGGCAAUGGGACUAGCAGCUUUUGCUAUUACCUACUGCUUAUUAUUGUUAUUAUUAUUAUUUCUUUUUAAUUAUGCAAAGUGCUAAUCAGUUUGAUUAUGCACAGUGCUAAUCAGGUUAAUUAUGCAAAGUGCUAAUCAGUUGUUCUCUAAGCACACGAGGAGAGCAGAGGUGCUGGCAGUGAAUGGUGGUUCUAGAUGGGGGUAGUCACGGCAGUCAUUCCUUAUUAAAAGAGGAGUAGGUGAGAUGACAGGGGUUUUUGCUUCCAUUAAAAAAUAAAUAAAAAGAAGAAAAAAGCAAUGAGAGUGAUAGUUCUGGUGGAGUAAUGUCUUCUUUCACAGCAAGGCAGACUUUUAUUCCAAGCUGGCUCAUGCUGUUGGAUAAUUUCUGCUGGAGUUCGAGUGCACUGAUUUGGGCAAAUAUAUUGCAGAGGGGUCUUGUAAUGGGUGGGAUACAAGUACCCCCACUAGAGAAAUUGAGAUGCAAAACCAGAAAAUCACAAAUUAAAGGACUUUUUCAAUCUAAUGAGCACUCAACUUUUAGGCACUGGUAACUAGAACAUCAAUAGCGUAACAUGAAUGGCCCUUGUUCAUGUAUAUGUAGGGUUGAACGUGUGAGUAUUCAUGUACUGCAUGAACAUUCAAACUGUAUUUCUUUCAGUAUAAUACCUUUACAAACUGUAGGAAUGUAGGGUUCCUUAUCAUUGGGAGUAUAUGUUAAGAUGCAUUUGUUCUUCUUAGUGCGAAAUUAUAAAUUAGAAUUCUGUGUUCCAGUGAAAUAGGAUCUCUUCUCAAUAAGCUGUGUUCUUCUGACAAUUACUGAAGAUUCAGUGUGCCCAUUUUGCUGUGCUCAGUGUCUAAUAUCUACCCACUAUUCGUUAUUUGAUUAUGUUUCACUGUUGGUGUGGGAUACAUAAGCACCGCUUUUUACAGUUAGUAAUGGAGAUGACAUUCCCAGAGCAGAGAGCUGCUUGCUCGUAAAAAGUCAUGGGUAAAGGAUCAUAAGAGAUGAUUUUGAAGUCAUUAAAAGAAAAGAUUAGUCUUCUGUAAGGCCUUCAGUGGUAGAAGGUUAUUGCAUGAAGUGCAAAAGAACUUUUCCUUGAAAAAGUAAUCAUUGUGGAUGGUUAGCUAAGGGAAGUCACGGAAAACAAUGAAAUAUAUUUAAGGUAAGAGGUGAAGCAUCAGUAUAGCUUAAACCAAAGCCUAAAUAUUAAUGAUAUUGCCUUCUUGGCAUUGUGACUGCUCCAUAAGACAGAAGACUCUCAAAACACAUUUACUACCAAGUGUAUGGGCACAAUUACUCAUCUGUUUUCAUAGGUUUAUUCUGGUUUUAGAAAGCUAAACAAAUGGUCUGCUCUCAAGUCUGGUGCCCUGUAGCUGGAAUGGAAGAGUAUGUGAUCUGAGUGCUCAAAGGGAUGUGCGCAAGAAGCUAAGGUCCCAAAUCUGCAGAUGCUUUUCUCUCUGAUCAGAAUCCUCUGAAGCUAAUGCAAAGCUUUGCAUACACUAAUAGUGAAUCAAUUUGCUAUUACUCAAGAUGCUGCUGUAGAAGACCUAAGCCUGUUGGCCUCAGAUCUGGAUUUGGUGUGUAGUAGUCCAGUCUGCAAGCAGUUCUCAUAGAAUCACUAUUCUGCUUUCAUCUGUUGUCAGUGGCCCUAUUUCUGUUUGCUUUUUCAGUACAGUCUACUCCUCCCUCAUGAGCUCUUUGAAGAGACACAAUGGGAGAGUUUGUACAGUCAACCACAGUUGGGAAAAAACUCUGGCUUCUUCAUGUGAUCCCUUGGCAUCAUACAGCCUUCAGUGAGGCAGAUCCUUGCUUUGAUUGCUGUACCUAAAGAAAUGCACGGUUGCACAGAGAUUUAUUAUUAUUAUUGUUGUGUGUGUGUGUUUUGGAGACUGGACUCAAAAACUGCACCAGGAGGAAGAGAAUUUGUUUGAAAGGUAUUGUGCUGCUUUAGGCAUGUUCUUUGUUAUCAGCCAGAUAUUUUCAAAUGGGGGUUUUAUCCUUUGGAAAUAAAGCCUCACAGAUUUUGUGCUAGUAUUAGUUAUUUCUCCAUCUCCCCUGUCCUCUACCAAUUCAAAAGUUGUUGUAUAGUUAGAGGAUACUUGCAAAGCCAUUAGCAUAAACCACGCAUUGGAGUAUUUGUGUGGUACAGCUGUAAAUCUACCCAAAGCAUCAUCAUAAUCUGCGUUCCAUUCCACUAUUUCAGAUGACUGGGCUUCUGAUGGAUUGCAGAGCUAGUCAGAAAAAUCACGUUCUGCUCCAAUUUUUUGUACUUUCUUUGUAACCCUGCUAAAUUGCAUUAUCUUACUCUGCUUCACUUUUCCUUGGUAUUGAAAUAUGGAUAAUGAUACAGACAUAACAUGGGAUGUGGGAGGAGUGUUAGAAGGCAAAUGUAUUAUUUGCAAAGUGCUUUGAUAUCUCUGGAUUAAAGGAGUUAUGGAAGUGUGAUGUAUUAUGGAGAGUUAUCUGUGUUAUUAUGAGCGUCAGCAAAUCUUGUGAUCUUGAGUAAAUUUGUGCAAGAUAACACACAAAUAUUUUGUGUCUUCCUAAAAAGUGAAACAAGUGGAUGGAAGAAGCUCAGUUGCCUUGGCACUGGGGUAAUAGGUUAGCAACAAAUGACAAAAUCCAAGUAAAGAAAUCUGUGCCUCCUAUGAUUGAAGAAGCAGGUCUCAAGUGAAUCGAGGAUUCACCUGUCUGUACUACAGUAUUGUUGCCGUAAAACUCCUUUUACAUCUUCUUGAGGACCCGGCCUUCAGAGGUGCACACUAGCUGCUCUGUGGCUCACUAGAAGAUGUCUGCUCAUUGGCAUUCACGGGACUGGGAGCUGAGGGGAUUAAUAACAAAAAGAUGUAAAACAUUCCCUCUGACCUUUUAAAGUCACUGACCUGCAUUCAGGUUACAAAUGCACAGCACUUCUCUCUUGAGCUACAAAGGUUCUAAGUCAGUAACUCUACCAGGCUAGCACUUCCUUGUGCCCAGCUGCCAUGACUGGAAUGAAGGAGCAAGAAAACUCACUGUGCACAUGAUAGUCUUAUGGUGACACAAGUACGUGGAAGAAACCCCACUGACAUAAACUAACACACUGAUACUGUGUUUGAAAAGUUGUUUUGAAUGUCUUCUCCUAUUGAGCUUAUGCAACAGAGAUAAAUAAACACCAUGUGUGGUGCAGCCAGGCUGAGUAUUUUUGCUCCUACAAAUGUUUAUACAUUCUCUGGUGGUUGUUUGUAUUGCUGUUUGUUGACUGUAAAUUCCAGACCUAGAUGUUUAUAAUGUAUACAUUUGUAGGAGCGGUGCAUGUUGGGGAAUAUGGUGAAGGUAGUACUUUUUAUGAACACAACCUGAUGAAUAGUGGAUGGGUUUUUUCUACUUCCAGCGUGGUGAAUUAAUCUUUGUGCUCAUAGUGAAAGAGAAGGCUGCUGCAGCAGGAGCUGUAGCUAAGCGGGACAUUUUCUGCUCAAAUAAGUGCAGAGAGUUGCACAAGAAGGACCACCUGGGAUCUGUCAGGUAGGAACAUAGUUAGGCUAUCGUUGCUUCCAAUUAAUAAUCAAGUCUGUUUUGCUCUCAGUUUCAUUGGUGAUGAUGAUGAGGAUGAUGUGUGUUGUUACUGAUGACAAAAUUCCUGAUAGCAGAGACCUCUGCAUCCCCUUUGCUUUUGGCACAGCGUCUCUCCGUUGCCCUUCAGCAAACUUUGCCCUCUUCCAAAACUGCUGUUGUCAGCAUCUCAGUAUCUUGAGUAGUGGGAGUGUGUAGAAAAUUCUGGGAGCUGGUGAAUGCACUUCUGUCCCCUAAACUGAACGGGUAUAGCUUCCCAAACAUAACGAUACAUUAGGGAAGAGUUUAUCUUAGUCAGCCACCGUUUUUUUGGAUGAGAUGGAAUUUUCCUUUAACUCCUGUUUCUGUUGUAUUUGUGCAAGUUAAAAUGAUAUGUUUCUGAUGCUCCGAACUACUUAAAGCCUAUGUAACGCUUUCCUUUUUGCUCCAUCUCAUGCAUGUUCUGUCCCUGUGUUAGAGGCAGGUUUGGCUGACUCACAGUUACUGUUACAGCAGCCUCUCUGGUUUGCUUAGAAGUUUGACUGAGUUUUAACCAUUUGUAGUUAAUGUUAUUAUCUUUAAAUGUAACUUUCAGAGACAACUCCCACUAUGAGAUCACCAUUUAGAGAUCUGAUACAAAUCAUUUUGCCCAUUCUAAAAUAGUAUAAUAGCACCUUCUGAGACUUCUUAGACCUUCAUGGUUUGUUCGAAAUGAAGCUUUGAAAAGAAGCAAUGACCUUUGUGACAGGGUGUUGGGUUGAUUUAUUUAUUUAUUUUUCCCUUUCUUAUCAGGGUUGCAAGAUACACAACUGACAAUAGCUGUUCGGGGAAAAUAGGGAGGGUUCUACUUCCAUUAUCAGUUUCUUAAUGAACUUGAGAGAAAGAGGUCUGUCAAGGGUGUCUGAAGGCUGUCAACCUGUUGAUGAUCACAGAGCACUGAUAUGUUAGUGUAUAGUACGUUCUCUUUUUCAGUUACGUACCUAAAAAUCCAGGGAAUUAAAUACACUGGCUAAGCAAGGUGAAAGAAUAUUUCACUUAUCUGAAGUCAAAUCUGUGAAUGCUAGAAUUGAAGCUGACUGAGUAGCCUUAAUUUGACUUCCCUCUGCUUUUCUACUAGUUAAUUAUAUGAUCGCAUUCUGUUUUCUGUGGGAACCAGUCUUCUCUCACUACACCUAAUGGACCUGGCUGAGAAAGAAUAUAGGUUCCUUAGUGGGAGGCUGUUUUCUAUAAUAUCAAUUGCCUUACUUGCUGCAAGCAUUGGAAAAUGUUUAAUAAAUGAGGCAGGAGAAAGCUGAGAAAGAACAGAUUCUUAAGAUUAUGGCAAGUUUGCGUAUGCUUAAAGAAAAAGUGCUUGAAUUGAGUUGCUUAUAAAAUCAGGCAUCUAUAAGUGGGCUACAAAUAAACCUAAUACUUCUUCAUUGUCUUAUGAGUUUACUGGUGCUGCUUUUAACUCUUCUACUUCAAUCCUUUUAAAAUAUUCCAUUUAUUUCCCUAAGAAGUGGGGGGAGAAAAGUGAUAGUAGCAGCCUGCAAUGUGAUUGUGUACCUACAAAGUGAGAGAGAAGGUAAAUGACACUCCCCUGCCAAAAUAGCAGCUCCCAAGAUUUUGGCUUUCAUUUGGUAGAAAAUACACUAUGUUCCAUGUUACUCGCUAAGAAAAGUGGGCACAACUCUCUCUUCCCGAUGCUUCAACAGUUGCAUUGGCGAUGCUACUCUAUGUAGAACCGGGCCAGGUUAGCCCUCUAAGCACUGGGAGUUCAGCUGUUUUCUUGUGCAUUCUUCUUUUCAUAUUUUAUUACUGUAAGGAGAACACAAAGAGUGCUUGUUUCUUUCCUUCUCUCUCUUUUUUUUUCUCUCCAGUUGACACAAUCAGUGUUAUUUGAAGGAAAAAAAAAUGCUCUCAGAAUGGGAAAUAGGGUGGGAAAAUGUAAUAGGAUCUGCAAAUCUUUUCUGUCUUGUCUGAGUAAAUGGGAGCUGAUGAGAGAUGCAGCACAAUGAGGGCUAGGGAAUGCUAACUGAACUGGUAUAUAAAGAUAGUUUCAUUUUGCUUCAUUUCAUUUUACUGUAUUGAAUUUGAAAAGGAAAAUUGCGACGGACAUGAAAGUUUGCAGUGGAAACACCUUGGGUUGCUGUACCCUUGACACGAGCCUGGGCAAACAUGAAAAUGAAUGUUAAAUAAAGUGGUGCAUGAAUUUUGUAGGUGUGCUUCUGAAGCUACUUUUUGAAGAGUGCCCUUUCAGAAGCAGCAACUGUGCCUCUGGGUUAUUGUGCUGCUUCUGUUCUUAAUCUCUUUUAUUGUCCACUUAAGUUACCAAUUAAAGAAAGGUGUGAGGUUCUUGGUAUUUUUCUAUUUUGUUUUUCUUUGUUUUAAUGAGCCAAAACCGUGCUGAUUUUCAGACGUGUUUUGCAGGAUUAUCUGAAGGCAUCAUUUUUUUUUUUUCAUGCAGGCUUUCAGGGAGAUGAGAAUGGGAUUCUUUACCCCUUUUUACCCAUCUGUAAAGUUCAUCUUGAAUUUCGAAGUCAAUUUAAUGCAGGGUAGGGCAAAACUUUGAGGAAGUCGGUCCUAGGUGUGACACUACUACAGCCAUGCACUCAUCACUAGACAAAUUUUACCUUCUGUGUUAGAAGCUGUAGUGUUUUUAUCUAACUGGAGUGGGUGCACAUUGCUUGCUGACGGGAAGAGCUGUAGUUAAAAUCAUGUGCAAGUCAGUGCAGUCUGAAAAGUUGUCUUUUGCAUACUAUUAUGCUGCUUUAGGCAUGGAUGAUUUUGAAAAAAACUGUGAGGGUAGGAUUUUUGUUUUUUUUCCAAGUCAAAGUCUGUCGUGGAGGUCUGAAAUAAUGUAGCAUGAACAGCAAAUAUUUCUGCAUAAAAUUUCCAACAGCACAGAUUGUAAGAUUUGAGUCUCGUUUAGGAGCCACAACUCUGGGAAAUAUCUUUGAUGAUGAAACAUAUAAAGAUAAAGCCUUUAUUUAUUUAUUUAUUUUCUAACCUGCUAUUAAAUAAGUGAAUAAUAGUGUUCAAAAGUAGGAUUCAACACUCUGGCUUCGGAGUCCACCUGAUGUGAUCCCAAGGCAGGUUCAUGUCAUGAGCAGACUUAAGCUGUUGUUUCAAAAAAUUAUAACUUAAGUAAUUUUAUAAGAUAGUCGUACUUGGCAAGUGUUUACCUGGUGAGCAGUUUGCUUUUGAUGCUCGUUUCCUUAGCAGUGUCCCCAAGGCUGAAGUAGCAUUGGUGGGCAAGAAAAGAGAGCUGAAGGGGAUUGAUUUUGCUUUUCUUCCAGAAACAAAGGAUGGUUUAAUGGUAUUGUAUAGUAAAGUUUCUGCCACUCUGAUGGCAAGGGAGAGAUUGUGUUAAUUUUUCUUUUUUUUCCUUCUCCUAGCCAUUACUAGACAAUGCCACUCCCUUGUUAACUGAGGUCUGGCAAAGGGCAAGGGUAUCCAUAGGGAAAUGACUCCUUCUGGGUGCGACUCAUUCCAAAGAGCGUCUCUUGAGCUCGAUAUCUAAAUCUGUGUGUCAUCAAGCGCCGUGGGUUCAUGUGGCCUAUUUUUGCAAAGCUUCUUUUUUCCCUGGUUGCAGUUUUGAAAACAGAAGGAUUUCCCGCUCUAUAGACACGAAGAAUUAAAUCUUGGACACCAGAAGAGGAGUGAGGGAAAAAGGUUGUUCUCUUUUCUGUGAGUGAGUAUCCUAUGGAAGAGGAGGCAGUGUUCCCACUGUGAUGAGAAGGUGUAAUGGCUAGACAGCUGUAGGGACAGAUCUGAGAAUUUAAAAGCUUGCUGAAAUCCAGAAAGAUUUGAUAUUUCUUAGGGGGUGGGACGAGGAAGAAUGCUGUGUAGCAACCAAUCUUUUCUACCAAUUAUUUUAGUCUAAAUCUUUAUCCUGUGCAGUCUGAAUAGCUACCCUAUUUCAUAUCCAAUAGUAAUUCAAGGAAUAUUCUUUUUAGCAGAAUAAACAAAUUUUUUUCUGCUUGACAUGGAAAUGCUUGUACUAGUAAAUUUCACAGGCAGCUUAUUCUCCCCUCCCCCCAAUAUUGUUUUGUCUGAUUAUACAACCUUGAAAGUUUAAAAUUGACUGGUUUACUGUAAGAAGCAUUAAGUAAAUGCAAUCUCUCUGUUUUUAAUAACACUAGCUCAGAUUUCAUGUGAGAUCACACUAGUCCUCCAGUGUAAUUAAGUUUAUAGUUUUCUUAUGCACUUCAAAUGCCUGUGAUGUGCAGUUAAUAGUAUUUUUCAGACAAGUAUUAGGACACCUCGGCAGCGAUGCCAGUGUGGGCUGGUGUCUAUCAGCAGUGCAGACACCACAAAGUAAUGGAAAUUGCAAGACACACUGCUAUAAUUUAUCUAAAAAUAUGCGUGACAGCAAAGCUUUUUUUUUUUUACCUGAGCUGAGAAAGUGGUAAGGCUCUGAAUCAGAGUAAAGCUUCAUAAAUGAGUUGGGCAUGAAACAAGAUUUUCAAGUUUGGCUCGAAGUCCAGCAUUUAUCGAGUCUGAAGUAUGGCUGAAUAUCAGAGAUCUUCUGCAUCUUGGAUUUUGUAUCAUGACUGUACCAGAAAUCUCAUUUCUUCUUCAUAAAGUUUAACUUUAAGGUGAUAGAAGGCUGCAUAGGGAACUCUGGAGUAAAAGUGUUUAUCAAUUUUUCCUCAGAGAGUGUAUAUAUGUAUGUACAUACACACACACACACACAUAUAUAUGUAUAUAUAUGUAUGUAUGUGUAUGUAUAAUAUAUAUAUUAUAUAUAUGUGUAUAUAUUAUAUAUACACACAAUCUGUACAUUUAUUAUAUAUAUAUUAUAUUUAUUAUAUAUAUAUAAUAUACAUAUAUACACAUACAUAUAUAUGCAUACAUACAUAUGUAUACAUACAAUAUCUAUCUAUCUAUCUAUAUCUAAAUAUAUAAAGGGAUCAGUAUGUUCAAUACCAGGGCAUUCUCUUUUAUUUCUAAGGGAAUAAAAUUACAGUAUAGAUUCCUAAGUACUUCAGUGAAAUGGGCUGAAGUUAUUGAAACAAAGAGAAAGAACUGUCGUGUUCCUUCCCCUCCAUCAAAGCAGUUUGAUUUUUAUUUUCAAAUGCUUUGAAUGAUAAAGGCCAACAGUUGAAAUUUUAAGGAGCUUUUUUGUUGUUGAUGUUAUUCCAAACUGACACACUUGUCGAAUGCUGCGAGUUACAGUCAUGCUUUGGACAUAGAAUUGGAUCUGAGCCUGCAGUGUGUGUCACAGCGUUGUGCAUUAGAAGAGCAUCCGAUUGUUCUGGUAUCUUGGAAAGUCUGGGUGUAAGUCUACAGCACCAGAGAUUUGAGAGCUGUGAGACUGAGCUUGGUUGUGCUUAGAAAUGUUGGAACUGAGCUCAGUUCCAGUGGGGAUUUAAGGAGUCUCUGUAUUCAUGCUAAAGUUCACACUGAUAAACAUGCUUUCCUUCUCCAGCAAGCUGAAGUAGAGCUCACUACAGCAAAGUUUUUAAAGACACAGUGAAGACCAAUAGCAAGUGUGUGGGGCAGCUUCUCAGUGGCUGCCUUUUAAGUUCAUGAGCUAAGUCCUAUGCAAUGCUUAGCCAAGCUGUGUGUUGUGGGGACUGCAGAUCUGUGUAAUCUCUGGCAGGGAGCCAUAAACUAGCCGUUCCCUUCCUUUCCUGAAACAGCACAUGCAAAUGCGAUCCAACUGUUUAUUUUGUUCAUGCAAAUUUUUGCCCAUGCAAAUUUAAGCUGCAGGUUUUAUUCGUUACACGUAAAGAGGCUGGAAUGUUCUUUGAAGUGGGGAAUAAUAACAGUGAGAGUUAAGCAGCACCGUCUCUUUCUGUUUUCUCCUUAAUCAAAGUAACGUGGCACAGGCUUCAGUGAGGCUGCUACUUCGGUGAGGACUGCAGGACUUGGCCCAACAGGUAUUAACCCGUAUCAAUCCUCCGGGGACCUUUCUUUGCCUGGUGUCUGCCUGUUAGGAGGACUGCUGGGGGCAGGAAGCGAAGCGAAUAGGACAGGCUAUUGGAGAACCUGCUGUGGCAUCAACUGCCCAUCGCUGGCUGGGAACUGUGAGCUGACAUUUGAGAGAACGUGCUUUAUAUGAGAAAGUGAUGAGUGAAUAGAAAUUAAAACAAAAGGAUUGAAAACAGGGCUGUAAUCAAUCUAGCCCAGUGUCUCAAUAAACCAGGGAUGUUGUUUUGCACAACGAAUUUGGGGCAGAUCUCACAGCAAGUGCCACAAUGCCAGGGUCUUCCCCCUCUUUCCCUCCCCUUCCAUUAUAUCUACAUUUGGAAGGUGGAUGGUGCUGACUCAUAAAUUAAAUUGGAGUAAUACAUACAGUGUAUAUAUAUUUCUGUCACUUUGUCUCAAAUUAAACACGAACCUUCUCCCCUGACAAGAUGAUAGAAAAGUUAAUUGCUCGCCCUGGCUUUAAAUUGGAAUUUGAAUUUGCAAAAUGCUAAAGGUUUAUGAGAUCUAAAUCAUGAGGAGCUUAAAUUACAUUCCUGUGAUAAAAUAUUAAUAAAUCAAUUAAAACAUAAGCCGAGUAUAAUAUUACUUUUUUUGUAGGAACCUCGAACACAAUAAUUCAUUAGAGUGUGCAGUAACAAUUAUUGUAUCUUUUUUAAUUUUCUUUUUUAUUAGGUUUUUUUUUUUUUUUAACGGGGGAAACAUCAGAUGGGAAAGCACCACACAAUGGUGGAAUAUUACCCUGAUACCACAUCUAGUCAUCUCCUAGUAACAAUGCACGUACUUACAGAAGCAUCGAAGCACCCCUCACUGCAUACGUUAUAUUGUGGCUCCCCACAUAACAAGAUGCGUUCUCUAAAAGUCAGGGGCUAUUUCCCCCCUUUGCAGCAUGGAAAAGAAGGCUGGCUAUGUAGAAAAAAGGGAAGUGAUCGUACUGCUCCUGCUUUUUACCUUUUUCUUUUUCCAGACUCUCCCAUUCCAAUUUUGUUAUUCUCUUCCUAUUUUCCUUUCCCUUUCUGGGCCUGAGAUCAGUAAGAUUUCAGUGUAAAAAAAACCUCAAAAAAAUGCACAGGCCUUUCUGUAAAGCUGGCCUGAGUUUUGUGCAGGGGAAGCCUAGGCUGCGACGGAUUUUGUUACUGGCUUUUCAGUUACGUUACGAACAGCUCUCACAGCUCUAAUCUUUACAUAACCCAUUUCUGCGUACUAUAUAAAGAGCACUUCAGGCACAGUAUGAAACUUAGUUAUUAUUUGAGGAAGGAGGUGUUAUGCUAGCUCAGCAUGCAUUUCUUAUAUGCAAACAUUAAUACACAAGGAAUGCAAUUAUUAUAUAUACCUGCACACCUCUAGUGCCUGUCAAGGUGCGGGUUCCUUAGUCAAGUGCUUUUUACCUUCUGAGAAAUGACUGGACUGCAUGGUUUAUACAGCUCCGCUUGGUAAAGGGUCUAAUUGCUAUCAUUACAUUAUUUGUGUUGCAUUCUUGAAAUGUUAUUUAGUACAAAUUACAUGCCAGUGCCAAAUUGGCAGCUCAGCGGACUGAUGCCUGCUGCAUACAUCCAUAGCAUAGGUGCUGUGGACCCUGCCUGCCCUGUGCCCAGGCAUUGUUAGUGCUGGCAAACUGACCACGUAGCCCCCUGGUUUUGCUGGUGUAGGCUACUGGACCUCUCCUUGGUGUGCUUUCUCCUCCCUCUGUGUGGAGGCAGAAGGGUUUCUGACUAGACAAGAGGGAUUGAGCAGAAGCCCAUGUUGGGCUCUGCUCUCAGGGUGAGCAGCCUGUGGAGGAUGCCUGUGGAGGAGGCCUACGGAUGAGAAGGAAGGAGUGCAUAGCUGCUGUCCCCCUCUGCCUGCUAGCAGCCUGCAGCCAUCUCGCUUCCAGCAGCGGGGCAGCUGCUGUUGGCCAGCUGAAGGCAGUUAGGGCUGGAGUCAGCUGGGGAACGCAGCCAGAGGAGGUCCAGGAGCAGGUGGCUGUUGCUCCUGGCCACCUGUCCAAGGAAUGCUUUCUGGUGCUGCCCUGAAGCCCUGCAGGCACUGGUUUGCCCAAGGCAUGGGAUUCUGCACGACACUCAGGGCCAUCCCUGUGGUGAGAAGGGAACUGGGGGUUCUGGAGCCUACCUUACCAUGCUCCUGCUUGUCCUUGCCUGGGGGUGGCUUCAUCUGAUAAUUAACCUCGAGUUUCUACAGACUUCUCCAUUUGCCAUCCCCCUGCUGACGAGGCCACUUGGGGUCCAUUGUAAUGACACAGGCUAUAAUAAAACUUUGUGUUUCUAAAGACAUGUACUGUGUCACUACUGCUAAGCUCUUCAUCAGUAUUAAAGACCCACGUGUUAGUUUUCAUAUCCAUUGCUUUUCACUAUCCUCUUUUUAAGAAGGGGACAAGGGAAAAGCCGCUUCCCACCAGCUCUCAGGGCAGCACAGUAGGCUGGUGGUGAAGAUCCCAUUAGCCUGUAUGUUUCUCAGCAGGCCACUCUCUGAACCUCACCAGAAUCAGAGGAAUGCCAAAGAUAACUUGUCCUGUCCAUGGGAAAGUAGAAGGCGAUUGUUUAAGCUUGUUUUGCGUAGAUUAUGGAACAGCUAUUAGGUGUGAUUAGGUCUUCCACUUAAGUCACAAAGCUACAACAGAAGGCUUCCUAUCACCAGGAUGGUCUGAUCUUUAUUAUGAUUUCUUUAGCAGUAAACUAUUGAGAUCUCACCUGGUCAUGACUCACCGCAUUUGACAAUUACAUUUACUCAAUAGUUUCCAUACUUUACAACUACUGGCUUAGAGUGUGGUUGAAUCUUUGUGAGCAUUUCUGUAAAUAUUAUUUUUUUUAAUUGAUUAGUGGAAGUUGAUGUGGGUGUAGGGAGAUGUUGCAGACUUUUCUUGCGUACAGAGAUGAUUUCCAACAGUAGCUAAUGAAACUUCUAAUGCCAACUUCUUUGUCAGUGAUAUCUUUCCGCUCAUGAAAGGACUUGCACUGGGACAGUGCUUUCUUGUGUCAUGCCAUCCUUGAUGGGGAGGAAACAGACUGGAUGCUUGAAAGGGUGAAUCGAUGCUUAUAUAUCAGCUCCUAAAAUGGAAAGGAGGGGCAUGAACUGGUCAGUGACGAUGCAGAUGAUGGGCUAUACAUCUUUGUCCUGUCACAAUUUGUUUUUUGCUUCUGCCUUGGGAAGACUUCCAUCCUACUGGAUGGCAGCUCUUGUCAGUUUCCAUGUCUGCUGGGGGCACUGAGGUUCUCGCAGACUAUGGUAAACACGAUUUGGCUCCCAAGCGCUCAUAAUCAGGCUUACUUGUGCUGAGACAGAGAUUGCUCUAUUGCAGUGCCAGGCCUCCAGCAAUACCAACUGUUAAAUAAUAAACAGGCCCUGCUUGUUGGCAGCGCCUGCCUGCUCUGCUGCCCCCGCCAAACGCUGGGCUUGUUUCUGGGUCUACCUGCCCACCUGCCUCCUGAAGCGCAGCCCUGGUGUUUGGUGGAGAUGGAAGCAGUGCAGAGACAUCAGUCUGUGUCUAAUCUGCUUACUUUAUUAUUCUUCUAGGACAUCGGGUGAUAUAGCAAACAUGUAGUGCUUUGGCAGCACUAACAAUGGCUUUGCUGUCAUUCUAGAUAAUAUUUCAGACUUCUACCUGAUGCACGGGAUGUUUUUCUUCUCUCUGUUCAUCCGUCUGUUCUUUAUGUUCCUUUUUUCUGUUUUUUUUUUUUUUUUUUUGGGGGGGGGGGGAAUAUUGGGGCUGCUGGGAAGGACUAAUUGCUCCUUAAUCAGCUUUGUUUUUUCCUGUGAAUCAAAAAUAAAGUGGCUUGUUCUCCUGGUGACAGAAUGGCGUUGAUCAUUUUACUACAUUGAGAGAUAUUACCUAACCCUUUUCCUGUUCUUUAUGAUUAGAAUGGGCACUGGAAUGAAGAACUUAUUUUUUUCCUUUGUGACUUAAGGGACUCCAUUAUGAAGAACAGUCUGUCAAUGGAGAGAAAAAAAUAUUGUGUCAAAUAAGCCUGUAUUUUUCUAUUUUGGGGGGGUUUGUAGUUUUCCUUUAAUUUCAAUCUUACUGUGUACACGGUGCACGUGGAAAACGGAGUGUCCUAUUUUAUGCAGAAGAGAAGUUUGAGAGCUUGAAGAUAAGUUAGGAAAAAUAUUAUGAUAUUGUGAAGAGGAAGAGAUUAUAUUGCAGAGUUAAAAUAUAACUGCAUGAAUAGAUUAGAAUGUACAUAUUAAUUUCCCCUUCGUUCUCUAAAACCUUGAGUGGAACACAAGCCAGAAUUUUCACUUGGUGGGAUAAUGAUUUUUUUUUUAAAUCCAUAUAUGAAAUGAAUUUUAAACAUAAUAUUAUUUUCCCUUUCAUAUAAUUAAAAAUGCCCAUAUUUUGAGUCAGCUGAAAACUUUUAAUGUUUUUGCACACAUAGCCCAUUCUCUGAGGGAAUUUUCUGAACUGUGGAUUAACCAUAGCAUGAACGUUGAGAAAAAAUUUCCUUUUUUUUUUUUUUCUCAACAAAUUUUGUGCUAUGAAAACUGGUGUUUCCUAAAAGUCUGGAGGGAAUUCUAUCAUAUAAUUUCCUGUCAGCUCUAUUUGAAACUCCACCCUUCUAUGAUAAUUGUGGCAGGUGGCAAAUAGAGAGAAGCAAAUGUAAUUAGUAACCAGACCUGGGAGCACUGCCCUGUCACUAGAUUUUCCUAGCAGUGCUUUGCCAUUAACAGGUCUCAGAACCCUUCAAAGCCUUUGCAUUAUCUAUGUUGAGUUUAAAAUGAGAAAUGCAAGAGGGUGAGGUCUAUGGAUCACCAAUGUUGAUCUCUCUUAAAAUAGGCAGUGUUUUAUAUCCAUAUUGAUUUUGGAUAUUGAAAAUGUAUAUCUAUAUAUAGAGAUAUAUAUAAUAGGUAAAUAAAUAUAAAUAGCUAUCAAAGGUCAAUCACUGAGUCACCUUAAAUACUCAAGGAUAAGGUGGAAAAACUCAAGUUUAAUGGAAUUUUCAAAAUACCUAAGUGUAUCCUUGUCUUACUGCGGUACAUUUGAGCAUUUCUGAUUUAUUUUUUAAGAUUAUUAUUAUAUGGGUUUUUUUGUUUGUUUUUUAAUAAUUCCUGGAGCUUUUGGCUGUUUGAUGUGAUCUGCGUUGAAACUUCAGCAAAGUCUUCUACUAUGUGUCAUUUACUUGAGUAGGAGCAGGUCUUCAUGGACGGUCGUUUGAUUUAUUCUUAAUGGGAGUACGUUGGGAGUUCAGUGCUUCUGAACAUCUUCAGAAUAUGGGAGAAAGAGUAGAUAAUGAAAUUCUUGGUUGAGUUUUUUUUUCUGAAAUGUGUAAAAUUUACAUAGUUUGAGACUUCUUUUUUUUCCAUAAAAAUGUUGAAGCAAUGCCAACAGAUAAUUUUUAGGAGGCUAAAGCAGGGCAGCUACAGGUAUGCAGGGAGAGGCACUCAGGAGAUUAAUGAAGCGCCUUUGCAGCUGCUAUUGUAGAAGCUGGAAACCUUGUUUCAUUAAGCAGAAAAAUAAACUACAGAAACAGAAGACUCCCUCUCCUUCUUUCUGAAAGUGUUUCCUUUCUUAAAAUGCACAUUUUACUCCAGUGGGAAGAGUCUUUUCUUACUGCUGACACACUCCUUAAAUCAUAUUGUUUUCAGGCAGUAGAUAAGAGUGAGUAGAUGAGUGACAUUUGCUUGUAACUGUAACUAAAACAUAGUUUUAGUGACAUCAAAAAAAAAAAUUGCAUUUAUAAGCUGAAUCAUUUACUGCAGGUAGAUGGAAAAUUCAAAACUGGAGUUAGCAACAGAAUCUCUCUUAUUUCUUGCAGUGCCAUCUUGGAGUGGGAUUUAUUUAGCAAAAAUGUAUUUCAUCCGAAGAGGUGUCUGCUGAGUAACUGGUCAAGAGAAUUGCUUCCACUAAAUGUAGGCUGCAGGGAGCCAUAGAAGAGGUUCAGUAGGUGGUGCUGUUCCCUUGAAGCCAGUUCUGAUGCUGUGCCCGGCAGAAUGUAUAAGGGGUACGUACUCCAAAGAUCCAGCCUUCAGGUAGAACCUGAAAAGCUAGCAAUUUGUUGCCAUAAAAAUCUUGUUUAUGCUUUUUGUUAGCUAUAGUGGUGUUGGGGGCGUAUUUAAACUUCUUGGAGCUUGGGGGUGGGAAAUACAGUACAGGAUAAAAUCAGUGCUGUCUUAUAUAUACUUGAACCUGAAGCUUGAAGAAAAUUUCAAGAUCCAUGAGUUGUAGGAGUCGUAAAUGGAAGAGGAGGGGAAAAAGCAAAGGAAAAUAAAAAGAAGAAAGAAAGAUUGAGUGUAACAAACCAGUAACUAUGAACUGAGAGAUUUUUCAUAGCUGUGUGGAAAGCAUUCUUUCAGGUUGCACCCAUUUUGGCCAAGAACAAGACAGAGUUGAAUCUAGAAGUAGACCCAGUGAGAAAUGCAAACAUUCCAGAGCUAGGAGUUGUUUGACUGUGAGCUCUCAGCGAUGGCUUUUCACUGAGCUAUGUGCCAGUGGAAUAAAUAACAACGAAAGCGGUGCAUUUUUCAGAAGAUAUGACCAGUAUAUUUCCAAGCUGUCUCCAGAUAUCAGAAUUCUUUCUCUCAGAAAUGUUCAGUCGUUGAAACUGGUUGCACAGUACUGGAUGUAUGUGUAUCUUCUGUGAGAGGACCCUUUGUUAAGGUUGCUCAGAAAGAACAUUCUAAUUAGUUUUGGAGGUAACAUAAAAUAUAACACCAGAAACUUCCUUUCAGAUGGUUUGAGGUCAGAAAGGACCACUGGAUCAUCUGUUUUGACAUUUUCUGUGUCACAUGCUGUUAUUUUUGCCCAGUCAUCCCUAUUUUGAACAUAGUUACGUAGAGACAGCAUCCCUCCAUCUUGAAGCUAUCAAGAGGUUAAAGCUCCUCCCUUCCAUUGGUAGUUUUGUUCCAGUGGCUAAUUCUCUUGCUGUUUAAAAAUGUGGGAUUCAUUUUUGGUUUUAUUUGACUUUUUCUUUCUUUCUUUCUUGGCAUCACAUUCCAGACUUUGGUUCUUGUUAUGCCUUUCUUCACCCAAUUGAAGAUCCCUUCAGAAAACAAUGCGAAAAAGAAAAGUAAAAAUGCCUUCCCAAGCCUACCCACUACCUCCUGUUUAUGCCUCCAGGGAUUGCUUUAGCCAUCCUUGCCACACUGCACUGGGUGUUCUCCUGCGGUUGUUUACUUGUUGUGACCUCUAAAUCCUUUUCAGAAUCACUCUUUUCCAGGAUGUAGCACACUCCCCAUACCCAAUCCUGUAGAUACAAUGUGCUCCUUUUUCUUUAGCAUGUGCCAUGCCAAAAAGCAUUUCAUUUGAAGGAACUGCACUUUGUGCAAAUGACUGGUGGUUCACACUCACAGGUGCCCUGUUCUCCUGAUCUUUUAUCAGUCUACCUGUUUUUGCCUCACCUGGAAAUUUUUAUCAGCUGUGCUUUUAUAGCUUAGGAGUCAUUGCUCUGAAAUGCUGAAUAAUGUUGGGGGUUAUUACAGUUUAACCUGAAUCUUACUCUGGGUUCCUCUCAUUGAAGAUUCUCCAAGUAACAUUUCUUCUGAGGGCUUCCAUUAGUUAUUAAGCCGUUCAACAUGUGCUUUCAUUGACAGAGAUGGAAUGCUAUGCAGUUGGUACUAAGUUAAAAGUCUGUUAAAAUUUCAUUCUGGGAUGAAACUUGGCAUGUGAGAUGAGGGCUCAGCAAGUUAUGCUGAAAGUUAGGCUGUCCUCAUGCAGCUUCUUGAUGUUCAGAUACAGCAGUGUGGGUAUGGCUCCAUUCGAGAGGCAAGAAGGAGCGAGGGCUGUGCCCAGUGUUCUGAGCCCUUGGUGGAAAAUGGUGUUGUAGGUGCUGAGUGGCCUUACUGGGAGGACUGCCACAUGCCUCUCAACACUCUUGCAUUCAGCUUAGGGUAUUUAAAUUUAUAUAACUCAUCUGUUCUCAUUCGUGCUAGUUUUACAUGGCAAGAAAUCCAUCAAGCCCUUUCUGUGUGUUAGUUUGAACAGGGUAAGUGCAUCGUUGUUUUGCUGCAAGUCAGGGUUUAAAUACCAUUUAACGUCUCCUUUUAAUUAGUUCCCCUUUAUUAGUUAAUUUUGUAUAGAUCUUGGGCAAUAUGAAGCGCUUCAAGUAUAUAAAGUAUAUUGUUAUUUAAUACUUCUAGUCAAAUUUCCCAAGAGGUGGAUUUUAAGGCUGUAACAUAGUUGUGACCACUGGGUGAUUAUACUGAUGUGACCUUUGCUCUAACCCAAUGUAGUUUGGUACAAAGCAUACUGCAAUCAUGUGAAGAGCACUGUUUGGCAGUUUUGCGUGCUCCACUUCAUCAAGGUAUGUGGAUCAGCAAUUUAUUUCUUUAAUUUAUUUUUGACACUCUGUUGAUUUGCAAAUUAUUCAGAAGCUUUUCUGCGGUUACCAUCUUGAAAAUAAUGCCAUCAGGUUAUUUUUGUUUUUGUAACUGGUCAAGGUGAUCAGAGAGUGCCUUUACUACUGGAAAUUGUUGAAAAUCCUUUAAACAAAGCAAGAAAAUAGUGCUAAUGAGUUUAUGUAUGUUUAUAAGUACAUAGGUCCAGACAUGACAUAUAAAGUUGUUUUGGGAAAAUGAACCUUUCUGUACAUCAGAUUCAAAAGCAUGGGCAAAAGAUUUGCAAGAAAAAAGGUCUGUUCGGGGUACAACAAGAGGCAAAGGACAAAAGCCACCAUUAAGUGGGUUAAAAUUGAGAUCCUGAGCUGUAUGAAGAAGUGGUGCAUGCCUUUUGCUGUAAUGAAUAAAUACAAAUGUUUGUUUGAAAGAAAAUUUGUCCAUGCUUUGCACAUUCAAUUUUGUAUGUAUUUUUCAGUACUUGUUCACUUGGGCAUUUCAUGCUUUACCUCAGUCCAAGUGAUUAAAGAAUGGCUCUAGAGGUGAAAUUUGUCCAGUGAAACAAAUUAUUGUCUUAUGCUGUCACAAGUUGGAAAUAACUCUGGAUUUUCAUACAGAUUUACAGAUUUUUCAUUCAGAUUUCAGUGUUCUGGAUUUGCACUACAUAUGUCUAGGAUCAAAAUAUGGCCAGCAACAUAAAAUCAGGGAGUUCAACUUUGUGUUGCAAGGUAGCAGUUCAUUGGCUUACACAUUCUUUUGCUGAGGUCAUUGGAUCAGCCUAUCCCUUCCUGAAAAAAAACCCACCAAAACAUCACUAUCUUAAAAUCCGCCAUUCUUGAUACACGAUUCUCAUACCUGAUCAUGAUUAUCUCAGGGAAAAUUGUUAAAUACGGUCAAAUGGGGAUUUGCUACCAAGUAUUUAAAUGUCGUACUGCAGUAGGGAUAAAAAAUCCACGUGGCAAAUGAGCAAGGAGGCUGAGUUCCAUCAUCUGGAACUAACUUUUGCUAAACUUUAUAUGAAUUUAGGCACUGUUAGCAGAGCAUGUGAAAGGUUAAGGGGAUGCAUAACUGAUAGAGUUCUGCUCCAUCAGUCUUUGAGGUCUCAGUUUAAAAAGCAUCAUUAACUCAGUGUUACCUUUCAGUGCCAUUCUAAAAUCUUUCAUUUUAGAACGAGAGGCCUGUGUGCAGAAUUUAAGAGGCUUAUUCUCUUACACAGAAAUAAUGCUGCUAAGCUGCUAGAAAUCUCAGCAGCUUAAUAUAAAUGUUCAAAUAAAAAGUUAGUAUUUUAACUGUAUAACCUUCAAAUAUAAUUAAUAAUGAAAUCCUAAGCAGGAGCCUAGGGGAAAGCAUUUGGAUUCUUUCUAUUUGUGGAAUAGGUGCAGGUCUCUAGUGUGCAGUUGAAAAUAGGGACUAAAUAUGAGCUGAUGAUUUUGGAAAUCACUGUGUGCUGCUGAAUGCAGAGUUGGGAAAUAAAGUAGAACACAGGAGAAAAUGAAAGCAGAGAGGCCUGGGCCACCAACUUCAUAUUCAGAAUUACCAACUUUUGUACCAGUCGGAAAUACUCAGAUGCAAAGCUUUUGGUCUCAGGAUUAAAUUGUGUUAUUCUGCCAGCACAGGAGCCAGUUAUUUGAUUUGUCUUUGUACCCCGACCAGUGCCACCCAAAUUAUUAUUAUUAUAUAAUCAUGGGAAACAAAAAUCACAGUGAGAGGGUGUGUUGUGACCACCUGUUGCACUACCCUGUUAAUUCUUCUAUCACAGCAAGAUGCUUUCCAGAAAUACUGCCUCCCAGAGAAAGAAGGUGUUGCUAGGAGCUGAUCGAGUGAUUGUGGUCAGAUUUUAACUCAGAAAAGGCAGAAGGAAACCAUCAGCUAAUCAAGGGCCUUCUCAAAAGUGGCAUGCAUUCUUCAGUACAGUCAGAAUAUGAUUUCUCUUCUGGCACUUGCUGGGUUUGGAGUCUGUGAACCACUUUCACACUUGAAGAAUGCAUGAGAGGGCCACCAGUUUUCUCCUUGAUAUUGGUACUUAAGCUCUACUGCAGUGUUAGUUACGAACAGAAACUAGUUGAUCGUGUGCCAAAAUUUUGGCCUCAGUAACGAAAUAAGCAGAGAGGAAAACUGUCUGCAGGUACUUUAAACAUAAGGGAUGUCUGAACCGUACUCUUCCAGAGUGCAGGUGGAAAAGGCAGAUGCCUUCAAAAUGACCGGUUAUUUUCAUUUUAUUUUAUUUUCCAGCUCUUUAGGCAGCUUGCAGCACAUGCUGCAGGCAGGAUUAAGGUAUAAAUGAGGGUCAAGUUAUGGGUUACUGCACUGAAAUCUCUGGAGUCACAUGAUUGUAAAAAAGAUGUGAGUAGAAAAUGAAGAUCUUUGUAUCCAGUAAUCAGCAUUUACACGUUGCUGUCACACCAUGAGACCUGAGGUAUUGUAGUUAUUUCCUGUAUAGGUUGCCAUUUUGGUGAGAGCUUCUAGAGAAUUGAUGGUAUUAGCUAAUGGAACAAUCAUACCACUUGUUGGAGAAGAAAAAUAUUUAUAGACUUUUCAUAGAAGACAAAUGCCUGAAAUGGCUGAUGAUGCCUUCAGAUUGCUAUAUAGGCCUGAGGUCUUCUAAGCAACCCUUCCCAAGCAAUGGUCAUGUGUAAGUGCGCCUUAUGCAACUAAUGUGUUGCAUACUUACUCUUUGAUUUCUGAAGCUAGUAGCUGACCACUGUGAAGCUGUAGAAACUGAAAUAAACUUCCAAUCAAUUUUUCUACUUAAUCUAGAUUCAGAAUAAUGUCCUUGAAAUUUCAAGAUGUUAGCAGAUAAAAAUACUGGAUAUCUAGAAUGGUAGCAGAUUCCCCUCACAGCGCAUUUGAGAGUUUGAUUUGAGAGCUUUCCUUAGCAAAGUUUGUUAAAGCUCAUAGGGCAUGCAGAUUGUUCAUCUUGGCCAAAAUCAGAUCUGGAAUGCAGGUCGAGCCUUCUGACCUAUUUAGCUGUUGAUGAAAAGCAGAAGACUAUUUAUUUAUUUAUUGUCAAUAUGGUGCUUCUUGGUGAUGUAUGCUCUCCCUCCUCAGGAAGACUUCUACUCAGAAACUUUUUUUUUUUUUUUUUUUAAUCAAGACUUCAGAAGGUAGCAGAGGAAAAUAAUGCUUUUUCAAGAGUCUGCAAGAAAUAAUUUGUUCAAUGAGCACAGGAAUUCAUGAAUCUACUCACUUUACCAGUCUACUACUGGUUAGUGUUAUGAUUGAGCGACUUGCUGUUUAAGAAGUUAUGAGCUGGCACUGAAGCAUUUUUUUUUGUGUGCGUAUUUGAGCUGUUUCUAAACCCAUUGGUGUGCUGCUUCAACUGUGACCUGGUACUAACUGGUACUGCAGUUCUUGUCUUGGGAAAUCUGUACUGUUUCUUUCUACCUGUUUUUUUCUGUUUGUUUGUUUGUUUGUUUUUCUUUAAUGAAGCCUGUAGGACUCAGCUUUCUUUAUUCAGGGCUCUACUCCUCUAGCAUAUUUGGUUGGAAUUGGUAAAUGUAUUUAAAGUAUUCCUAGGAACAAGAUAUUUCCAGACAGCAUACAUGUUUAGCCUUAAGGAAGCCAAGAGGAAAAACAACAACAACAAACAACAAAAACUGAUAUCCAGAGAUGGAUAUCCUUAGUUACUCCAGGUUUAACCAGUGAUUUGCUCUAUGACCUUUGGCAAACCAUUAUUCUCUUUAUGCUUUGUAAAAGAUGAUUGAAUUGAUCUGCUCAUGGGAUGAGGGCCAUUUUCAGAUUCCUGACUGGAAAUAUCAGGGUUCUGUGUUGCCAAAUAACGAGAAUGUAGAAGGUAAUGAUAAACAGGCUGUCAGUAUUUUCUUAAGAUAUGCUAACAUAUAUCUUGAUAAUGAGUCAUACUGAAAGGCUUGAGCGGGUUCUUCUGGUUCAGUAACGCAGAUGAAAAUGUUUCCUGAAUUAAGGAGAGCUUGGAGUAUGGGCUGAACAGUCUGAAGAAAGGAGACCUAUGGGCUGUUGCAGAUUUUGAGAGGUUGACUUGAACAUUAGCUUCCCAUUGCUAAAAAGAUCUUCCAGAAAUAAGGAGAGAUUUAAUUCAUUAUGUACUAGCUAUGACUUACUGCCAACUGAAACCUACCAUAAGAGAAACGGACUAUGUAAGUUUACUUACUUGGGAUAUAGUGGGGUGUUUGUUAUGAUUCUUCUUUUUUCCUUUCACUGGCAUAUCUGAAAGAUCAUCAUCAAGGCAUCCUUUUCAUUCCUUUUAUCUACUUGUAAGGUAUGCUAGAGCCAAUUCUUUCCGUGCCCCUUUUUCAAAGAAAUAAUUUUAUUAUUAUUGAUAAUGAGAUGCAGCAUGGGAUCAGUGUAGUGAGAAGUUGGGUAUCAGCAUCAGUUAUAGCAAGCUCAAGUGCUCCUCAGGUUUUUACUGCCCAGACUAUUGUUUCCACUUUAUUUCUAGAUUAGAAAAGCCUGUAACUUACUUGAUGAAACUGAUCCACUGCAGGGCUUGCCUUACAGCUUUCCAGCUGAUACUCUAGGGGGGGAGGGGAGGGAGGGGAUUUCAGCCCUGCUUCCCUGCAGCUGAGUACGUGCAUGUGGCAGGGAAUGGAACGUUACUGUGAUGAGAGUGUUAGGAAGACUGGUAAAUCAGGACAAUUUAAAGCUUAAAAGCAAAUCUUAGAUGCUGAUGUUCAUUAACAAUGCAUAUGGGCAAUGAUUAGUUUUUAGUUAUUAUUGACUAUCACUAGAUAUUCAAACAAUUUGUUCUUAACAACUGUAUCCUACAUUAGCUACAAAUGUGCAGUACCACAUAGUUCCUGCAGCCCGAAGUGGUCUUAGUCAUCAAGGCUGAGGUCAUCAAAGUUGAGAGCUCUUUCAUGAGGGAAGUGGCUUCUUUAUUCCCCAUCUUCACUUGCUCUUUCUUGAGGUUUUUGUGCUUAUCAGCCCUCUUGCCACGCAAAAUGAGGGUAGUCUCAUCUGCUCCCAACAUUACCUUAUUUUUAGGGCUAGCACUUUCCCUCUUCAGAUUAAUUUUCAGGAUCACUCUGGUUCCAGCAGAUAUCUUUCCUGCCUGCUCUGUGUCAUUUUUCUUAUCUUACCGAUUUUUGUACCCUUCACGUAUUCCACUGUAACCUCUUUUCUGCAACCACAACACAAGUAUCUGUUUGGCCCUUCGUAGUUACAUCUUACCUACAUAGAGGUGCCUAGCUGUAUUACAAAAUAUUUGUGCAUCGUACCCAGUUUUGCUUGUUGGUGUUAUGGUAUUAUGAAAUACUUGUAUAAUUAUUUCAGUGACUGAUUCCAGUGUACUUAGUCUGAGUUCAAGGCAAGCAAAUAUUUAUAUCCAGCCCAGCCUACUUCUAAUUUAGGUGUGCAACAGCCUCUCCUUUGGCUUUCCCGAAAGGCAGAGCUUUCUGCUUCAGUCAUGCCCUUUCAUGGUAUUUGUUUGAUUCCUUCAUGGUGGUGGAGAGUUCAUCUUCACUGAUGCCUCCCAGUACAGAACAGUGGCAGGACAGUGAGAAUAACAUAUGUAGAGUUCUGCAUAGAAGAUGGCUUAUUGUUCACGGCUUUUAUGAGGCCAUUGUGUAACCUCUCAGAGCUCAUAGUGAUUCUGAUUAACCAAGUUUGUUAUCCAAGUUAAAAGGUCACAUGUAUUAAUUGCUCAUACCGAGCUCAAUUUCUGUAUGAGCAUCAGGUAUGAAGCUGAGCAUUCUGGUGCUUUCAGAAUUUGCUGUAGUGCUUUGUAAAAAAGAAGAUAGUGUUUUGUUUGCUUUGUUGUUUUCUGUUUUUGUUGUUCUUGUUCUGUGGUAUGGAAAGUGGAGAUGGAGGUGUUUCCUUUACGGGGCUCCGUGACGCUACCAACUUUUGCCCAGUUACUACUUGCCACAUAUGUUUUUCUAUACUCUCUGAUCCCCUCUACUGUGGGGAGUGAAUAUCAGCCAGCAAGCAUACUGCAAGAAAUCUCUGGGGUCAUCUUUUAGAAGACAGAUUUGACCCUGCCAAAUUACAUUUCAUGAUCUUUGUUGUUGUUGCUGUAUUUUUUUUUUGUUCAGCUCAAGGCCCUGUUUUAUUUUUACCAACAUUUAAUAGCUGAAGGCUAACUUGUCCCAUUUGUCAGAAGAUGGUGGUUGGGCUAGAUGUUCUUGGAGGUCUUUUCCAUCCUUGGUAAUUCUAUGAUUUGUCAAAAUAAGGUGAGAGAUUGAAGCGUGACAAUGACCAUGUUAGGAUGUCUCCAAAAGUUAGGUGUGAGGUCUUGACAUGGGUAGCCCCUUCCUGCAGUGAACAAAAACAAAAUGAUCCUUGUCUGAGCAUGUCUGUGGAAAGGAGCAGGGUGGGUAGGUGGGUGUGACAAGUGAGUUCACUACUGUGUGGUUCUCAUAGUAUUGCUUACACAUUGUCAGUGUGCCAUGAUGCCUUUCUUAAAUACGGAAUGUAGUACCGACUAUGAAGAAGUGGUUAAAAACUACAGAAGUUUUAGUUUGUAAAGGAUCCUAGCCUGUAUUUAAAUGUCUUUGCAUGGUUGUUUGUUGUAGGCCAAGCAGAAAAAACUGCUGUUUUAGUUCUCAGUGUACAUCCCAAUUGGCAUGGCAUUAUGUAAUGUAAGGAAGAACCAUGCUGCUUGGUUGCAAGAAGAGAUCCACAGUGAUGAUUCACUUCAUUGUAUUGUUUCUCUUUGCACUUGACUCUAAACCUGAAGUGUAUUGUUUUAGCUUUUAAUCUUCCAUUAAUGGCACUGGUAUUCUAGGGUGAGUGAUUGUAACAGUUAUCUGUAGGUGUUUCCCUGUCUGUAGCACUAUUUUAAUUCUUCUCGGAUAGAUGUGAGCUCUGUUUGAGAUCUCUGCACUUUAAUCUCCUUUUGAGAGAGUUCGGUAUGAUGAGAAAAAAAAAAUCAGAUUGUCAUUCUCCUCAAAAUUAUUUGUCCAGUCUGGCUUAUCUGCCUGUCUGACUAUGACGGAAUAAUUUUUAUUUUACUAGAGGAGCUCAAGAGAUCCUUAAAUGAGAUGCCACCCCAUAUCAAUUCCAUACCGAAAGUUCUAUUGUUUCUCUUAUCAAGUUAUGUCUUUUUCUGAGUAUUUCUCCAGAACUUGCAGAAACUUAACAAAAAUUAUUUUGAGCUCCUGGAAGAGAAAAAAGCAGUUUCCUGUUCAAUGCUUCCAACUGCAGAAUUUAAAAUAAUGACCCAUGUUCUGUUUCCAACAACUCAGAAGUUGUCCACGUACCUUUCAAGAAAAUUGCCUCACAGAUUUCGAAAUGUAAGGGUACGGCGGAUAUAAAAUAAGGAAUCAUUUUUAAAAGUUUUUACUUGAAGAAACUAUUACAGCAUUGUAACCUCAACUGUAACUUUCAAGUUGCCUUUGUAAGUUAUAUCUCAUAAUUUAAAAACAUGAAAUCUGCAUUAAAAAAACCACAGCAAUAUUAACAAUUGUUACGGGCCAUAUCCAUCAGAGAUGCAUCCAAGCAUACAAAAAAAAAAAAAAAAAAGGAGCAACUGCAUUUCCUUUAUAUAUGAUAUAUAAUAUUAUAAACAACAGCAACAAAAAAGUAGAAGUCUAAUUUCUUAUCACUUUCCUUCUUCACCCAUCCCUGCUGUACUUAGUCUUUUCUGCCUCUUUUUCUUUUUUUUUUUCUCGACAGUACAUUGCAGAAAAUGAAAAAGACACACAUUUUAAUUUUUAGUGUUGCAAACUAUCUUUACAGUCCUUUCCAUUUUAAUAUUUCUGGCUUAUGGCUUUCAAACAAUUGCCAUUUUACCUAAAAGGGCAACAUGUUUACAGACUGUAUGUGAAAUCACUUUUGAGGGUAAUGCGUUUCCUGAAUAUCUCUAUUUUUAGUUCAGUGAUAGCUCAAAGCUAAGAACCGUUCCCAAUUGGCACUGUACUUGUGGGAACUUAAAGAUAGGGCUCUUAAUUUUUUCCUGAUACGAACACAUUUUAAUGUGGGAGCCAUUGUAGGAAAUCUGAGACAAUCCUCCUCUUAUUCGGCACUGGGAAGCUUCUCGUCCCUCCAGGUUGGAUUUCUGUAGUCCUCUAUUUGAGAUCCAACCACAACUAAUUUCAGUGCAAAGUUAAAUGUUGAAUGCAUUUUUGGUUGUCUUCCCACUACCGCAAAUGCAGUUUAGCAAUCGGGAAUAAGGUGAACCAGAGCACUGUGACUAACCAGUUUUCUGCAGGCCAUCAGUAGGAGUCCACCAAUGGUACCCUACACAUAGCAGGGGGGUUGAAACUAGAUGAUCAUUGUGGUCCUUUUCAACGGAGGCCAUUCUAUGUGAAUUAGCAAGCUGCUCUAUGAGAAAUGGUGGUAAUGCAUUACUAUUCUGAAGUGUACUACAAGUUAACACUGACCUGGAAGAUGUCAUUAGUAUUUUACUAAAUAUAAUGAAACACGAAUUUAAUGGGCUAUUAUGUUUAAGCGGCCUUGGUACCAUUUUACUUAAUGCAGUAGGAUUUUCUAUGGCAUACGGAGGUAGUUCUUCUAUACAGGUUUACUGUAUAGAACUUCUUCUUUUUGGACUUUAUGUGUCUUAUAACAAAGGUAAAACAACUUUCUUCCUGUAAUUCAUCAAUACAGUUAUUUAGAGGGAUCUUUAUUUGUCUCCCUGGAUGUCAGGCCCUUACUGUACUGGCUCUUUUUGUUAAUGCAG